rnacentral:rRNA from 1 species
UGCAGUCGAGCGGAAACGAGUUAUCUGAACCUUCGGGGAACGAUAACGGCGUCGAGCGGCGGACGGGUGAGUAAUGCCUAGGAAAUUGCCCUGAUGUGGGGGAUAACCAUUGGAAACGAUGGCUAAUACCGCAUGAUGCCUACGGGCCAAAGAGGGGGACCUUCGGGCCUCUCGCGUCAGGAUAUGCCUAGGUGGGAUUAGCUAGUUGGUGAGGUAAGGGCUCACCAAGGCGACGAUCCCUAGCUGGUCUGAGAGGAUGAUCAGCCACACUGGAACUGAGACACGGUCCAGACUCCUACGGGAGGCAGCAGUGGGGAAUAUUGCACAAUGGGCGCAAGCCUGAUGCAGCCAUGCCGCGUGUGUGAAGAAGGCCUUCGGGUUGUAAAGCACUUUCAGUCGUGAGGAAGGUAGUGUAGUUAAUAGCUGCAUUAUUUGACGUUAGCGACAGAAGAAGCACCGGCUAACUCCGUGCCAGCAGCCGCGGUAAUACGGAGGGUGCGAGCGUUAAUCGGAAUUACUGGGCGUAAAGCGCAUGCAGGUGGUUUGUUAAGUCAGAUGUGAAAGCCCGGGGCUCAACCUCGGAAUUGCAUUUGAAACUGGCAGACUAGAGUACUGUAGAGGGGGGUAGAAUUUCAGGUGUAGCGGUGAAAUGCGUAGAGAUCUGAAGGAAUACCGGUGGCGAAGGCGGCCCCCUGGACAGAUACUGACACUCAGAUGCGAAAGCGUGGGGAGCAAACAGGAUUAGAUACCCUGGUAGUCCACGCCGUAAACGAUGUCUACUUGGAGGUUGUGGCCUUGAGCCGUGGCUUUCGGAGCUAACGCGUUAAGUAGACCGCCUGGGGAGUACGGUCGCAAGAUUAAAACUCAAAUGAAUUGACGGGGGCCCGCACAAGCGGUGGAGCAUGUGGUUUAAUUCGAUGCAACGCGAAGAACCUUACCUACUCUUGACAUCCAGAGAACUUUCCAGAGAUGGAUUGGUGCCUUCGGGAACUCUGAGACAGGUGCUGCAUGGCUGUCGUCAGCUCGUGUUGUGAAAUGUUGGGUUAAGUCCCGCAACGAGCGCAACCCUUAUCCUUGUUUGCCAGCGAGUAAUGUCGGGAACUCCAGGGAGACUGCCGGUGAUAAACCGGAGGAAGGUGGGGACGACGUCAAGUCAUCAUGGCCCUUACGAGUAGGGCUACACACGUGCUACAAUGGCGCAUACAGAGGGCAGCCAACUUGCGAAAGUGAGCGAAUCCCAAAAAGUGCGUCGUAGUCCGGAUUGGAGUCUGCAACUCGACUCCAUGAAGUCGGAAUCGCUAGUAAUCGUGGAUCAGAAUGCCACGGUGAAUACGUUCCCGGGCCUUGUACACACCGCCCGUCACACCAUGGGAGUGGGCUGCAAAAGAAGUAGGUAGUUUAACCUUCGGGGGGACG